rnacentral:misc_RNA from 1 species
AACGCACGAGACCUGCGGACCUGCGGAGGGAUCAUUACUGAGUGUCUGCUCAACACCCUGAACCUGCCCCUGUUGCUUCGGCGGGCUUGUCCCCUGUGGGCGCCCGCCAGAGGCCUCUUUGCUCCUGGCUUUUUAGUGGUACUCUGAGGUUGGCGAAUCGUCAAAACUUUCAACAAUGGAUCUCU